UGGGGAAUAUUGCACAAUGGGCGCAAGCCUGAUGCAGCCAUGCCGCGUGUGUGAAGAAGGCCUUCGGGUUGUAAAGCACUUUCAGCGAGGAGGAAGGUGGGUGAGCUUAAUACGCUCAUCAAUUGACGUUACUCGCAGAAGAAGCACCGGCUAACUCCGUGCCAGCAGCCGCGGUAAUACGGAGGGUGCAAGCGUUAAUCGGAAUUACUGGGCGUAAAGCGCACGCAGGCGGUUUGUUAAGUCAGNUGUGAAAUCCCCGGGCUCAACCUGGGAACUGCAUUUGAAACUGGCAAGCUAGAGUCUCGUAGAGGGGGGUAGAAUUCCAGGUGUAGCGGUGAAAUGCGUAGAGAUCUGGAGGAAUACCGGUGGCGAAGGCGGCCCCCCUGGACGAAGACUGACGCUCAGGUGCGAAAGCGUGGGGCAGCAAACA
rnacentral:rRNA from 1 species